GAGGGUAUAGCUCAGUGGUAGAGUACAUGCCUAGCAUGCACUAGGUUUUGGGUUCAAUCCCCAGUAUCUCCA
rnacentral:tRNA from 1 species